rnacentral:rRNA from 1 species
GACGAACGCGGCGACGUGCUUAACACAUGCAAGUCGAACGAAGAGCGAUGGAAGCUUGCUUCUAUCAAUCUUAGUGGCGAACGGGUGAGUAACGCGUAAUCAACCUGCCCUUCAGAGGGGGACAACAGUUGGAAACGACUGCUAAUACCGCAUACGAUCUAAUCUCGGCAUCGAGGAUAGAUGAAAGGUGGCCUCUACAUGUAAGCUAUCACUGAAGGAGGGGAUUGCGUCUGAUUAGCUAGUUGGAGGGGUAACGGCCCACCAAGGCGAUGAUCAGUAGCCGGUCUGAGAGGAUGAACGGCCACAUUGGGACUGAGACACGGCCCAGACUCCUACGGGAGGCAGCAGUGGGGAAUCUUCCGCAAUGGACGAAAGUCUGACGGAGCAACGCCGCGUGAGUGAUGACGGCCUUCGGGUUGUAAAGCUCUGUUAAUCGGGACGAAAGGCCUUCUUGCGAAUAGUGAGAAGGAUUGACGGUACCGGAAUAGAAAGCC